UAGGGAAUCUUCCGCAAUGGGCGAAAGCUUGACGGAGCAACGCCGCGUGAGUGAUGAAGGUCUUCGGAUCGUAAAACUCUGUUAUUAGGGAAGAACAAAUGUGUAAGUAACUAUGCACGUCUUGACGGUACCUAAUCAGAAAGCCACGGCUAACUACGUGCCAGCAGCCGCGGUAAUACGUAGGUGGCAAGCGUUAUCCGGAAUUAUUGGGCGUAAAGCGCGCGUAGGCGGUUUUUUAAGUCUGAUGUGAAAGCCCACGGCUCAACCGUGGAGGGUCAUUGGAAACUGGAAAACUUGAGUGCAGAAGAGGAAAGUGGAAUUCCAUGUGUAGCGGUGAAAUGCGAAGAGAUAUGGAGGAACACCAGUGGCGAAGGCGACUUUCUGGUCUGUAACUGACGCUGAUGUGCGAAAGCGUGGGGAUCAAACAGG
rnacentral:rRNA from 2 species